UCCCGCAAGUACUGGACCAACUCGAGGAGGAGUUUAGUAACCCCAAUCGGUUCCUGUUCUAUGGCUACCAGUGCGCGUAUUGGAGCUGUCUGUUUGGGUACAGGUCGGGGGUCUUGCAAACAUGACGGAGAAGGAGGUAGAGGAGGCAAAGACCCACGGCCAGGAGCUGGGCUACCUGCUUCACAAAAAUCAAAGAGCACAAAACCAAUAAAACCUUUGGUGAAGCUCAGAUGUUCCUCAUCAAAGAGGAGUUUACCUGCCUGGAGAGGUGGCUGGCCAUCGAGAAAAAGGUGCCAGCCAAAGAGGCCAACCAGUUUGUGUUUUUCACAAAACAGAAGGGGCCGUCAAAGAACUUGAACAAUUACUUGCAGACAGCCUGCAGAGAAACGGGGAUGGAAUCAAUUUCACUCUCAUCCACUUGGCUCUGGCUACUUAUUUUGGAACUCCGACGUGUGUGUGACGUGGAACUCCGACCACAGUGAGGUAGUUGAGGUCAGGGCCAUGGUAAGCCAGAACCUCCACCAGGGCCCGGAAGGUGAGCGGGAACAGCCGCAUGAGGGGGAGGAUGACGAGGAGAUGGGUGGCGGCAGCAGCAGCUCAACUGACAGCAAGGCGACCCCGGUCAUGUACCAGGAAUCAGGGGACUCCUCAUCUUCCUCCCUCUCAGAGGAGGAACAGCAGCAG